GUGCCAGCAGCCGCGGUAAUACGUAGGGGGCAAGCGUUAUCCGGAUUUACUGGGUGUAAAGGGAGCGUAGACGGUUUGGCAAGUCAGAUGUGAAAGCCCAGGGCUCAACCCUGGGACUGCAUUUGAAACUGUUAAACUAGAGUGCAGGAGAGGUAAGUGGAAUUCCUAGUGUAGCGGUGAAAUGCGUAGAUAUUAGGAGGAACACCAGUGGCGAAGGCGACUUACUGGACUGUAACUGACGUUGAGGCUCGAAAGCGUGGGGAGCAAACAGGAUUAGAAACCCUCGUAGUCC
rnacentral:rRNA from 1 species